CGGUCUGCCAGCCACUUUGAUGUACGUCAACCAAAGCAUCUCAACCAGAAACAUAAUUGAACCAAGCCCCUGCACAAGUGACAGGCUUAACAGAAAGACCGCGGCUAAGGGCGAGACAGGCAAAGAUGCAGAUGCAUCUCAAAUCACCCAGCUCUCUGUGAAAGAGAGAUUUUGAAAGACCGAGGCUAAGAACAGGAGAGACAAAGCUUGGAGAUCCAGUGUGGCACAGCCAGCUAUUGCACUUGUGUGGGGUGCAGCGGCGGAUGCCGUCGUUUGGGACCUUGCCAGUGCUGACCGUAGCAAGGAUUCCCACGAGGUGACACAAAGCUGGCCACAGCGUCACCCCAGGAGGAAUGGUUUCGGUUGACCUUAAGGUGACCCCUGCCGCACUGCUGCAUUGCGCAUUGCUGCGGUCGCGCCGAUAUCCCUGCAACCAGCUGCGUCAGCUGCGGUCUCCUCGGCAGGCUGCACGUUUUCGUGCAGCCAUCCGGCAAUAAGAAGGUUACAGCGCAGAGACACGCUUCCGCAUACGCCGCCGCAAUUCAGAAUUCUCAGCCGAGGUGAGAAAGGGAGGCUCGGGUUCUAUUCAGCCUACGGAGUCGAUCGAAAGGCUUAAAUCCACUUUCAGUAGCAUCUAUGGAAAUGUUCCGUUCACGCUGUUGCGAGACCAGAGCUCUAACAUUAGGGGAUCAAGCACGCAAAACUUCAGGCAUCCAUCAAUUUGGGUUUAUUUUCUUACUACUGCAAAAAAAG